AAGGAAUAUUGGUCAAUGGACGGAAGUCUGAACCAGCCAUCCCGCGUGCAGGAUGAAGGUCCUAUGGAUUGUAAACUGCUUUUAGCAGAGAAGAAAAGCAUUCAUUUAUGAGUGUCUGACGGUAUCUGCAGAAUAAGCACCGGCUAACUCCGUGCCAGCAGCCGCGGUAAUACGGAGGGUGCAAGCGUUAUCCGGAAUCACUGGGUUUAAAGGGUGCGUAGGCGGAAUAUUAAGUCAGUGGUGAAAGCCUGUCGCUUAACGAUAGAACUGCCAUUGAUACUGAUAUUCUUGAAUUGGGUUGAGGUUAGCGGAAUGUGACAUGUAGCGGUGAAAUGCAUAGAUAUGUCAUGGAACACCAAUUGCGAAGGCAGCUAGCUGGGCCUUGAUUGACGCUGAGGCACGAAAGCGUGGGUAGCGAAC
rnacentral:rRNA from 1 species